GACGAACGCUGGCGGCGUGCUUAACACAUGCAAGUCGAGCGAGGCCCCUCCUUCGGGAGGGUGUCCUAGCGGCGAACGGGUGAGUAACACGUGGGCAACCUGCCCUCAGCUCUGGGAUAACUCCGGGAAACCGGGGCUAAUACCGGAUACGACCUCCACGGGCAUCUGCGGAGGUGGAAAGUUUUUCGGCUGAGGAUGGGCCCGCGGCCUAUCAGCUAGUUGGUGGGGGAGUGGCCCACCAAGGCCACGGCGGGGAGCCGGCCCGAGAGGGCGACCGGCCACAGGGGGACGGAGAGAGGCCGCAGACGCGACGGGGGGGCAGGGGGGGGAAUUAUGGAGGAGGGGGGGAGAGCUGGAGCGGGGGGCCCCGGGGGAGGAAGAAGGGCUGUGGGUUGAAAAACAUUUUUGGAAGGGAAGAAGGAGAAAGUGACGGUACCUGAAAAGAAAGCCCCGGCCAACUACGUG
rnacentral:rRNA from 1 species